rnacentral:lncRNA from 1 species
GAUGACAUUAAUAUUUAUGCAAUGAGAGUAAAAUGAUAAAUUCUGGAAAUGUGAUACCAAUCAGUAUUAUAGCUUCAGCUUUUGCUCUCUCUCUCUCUCUCUCUCUCUCUCUCUCUCUCUCUCUCUCUCUCUCUUUUUUUUUUGGUCAGGGAAACUACAGUUUUCCUAUUUAUUGUGUUAAAUACACAUAUGACCCCACGCGCAGAGGAGAGGAAUUAAGAAAGAUCCUACGUUAUAGCUGUUCCUGCAAAAGAUCUCUCAUCAGAACGGACUGUUCUGUUUAAAGGCUUACUCUAGGAGAAUGAAAACCACCAGGACGCACUACUUCGUUUCCUCAGCCAUGAAGGAAUGGAAGGAAGGACUUGGAGUGUCACAGCUGAACCCACAAGGGAGGACUGCCAGCCAACUUGGAGUCUAGAAGCUGUGCUCCUCAGCUUGGACUUCAGGGCUCCAUCAGCAGUUCUGGUUCCUUGACUUUCUGUUCCCAUCUCUACUGGCCUGUGGGGACACUAGGGUUGUGAUGGUUUCUAUAUGCUUGGUGGUCCGGGGAGUGGCAUGAUUAGAAGGUAUGGCCCUGUUGGAGUAGGAGUGACCCUGUGGGUGUGGGCUAUAAGACCCUUAUCCUAGCUGCCUGGAAGUCAGUAUUCUGCUAGUGACCUUCAGAUGAAGAUGUAGAACUCUCAGCUCCUUCAGCACCAUGCCUGCCUGGAUGCUGCAAUGCUCCCACCUUGAUGAUAAUGGACU